GCGGCAGGCUAAUACAUGCAAGUCGGACGGGAUUUAGGAGCUUGCUUCUAAUGAGAGUGGCGCACGGGUGCGUAACACGUAUGUAACCUACCUUGUUCAGGGGGAUAGCCUCUCGAAAGAGAGAUUAAGACCGCAUAACAUUACACCACGGCAUCGUGGAAUAAUCAAAUAUUUAUAGGAACAAGAUGGGCAUGCGGAACAUUAGCUAGUUGGUAAGGUAACGGCUUACCAAGGCUACGAUGUUUAGGGGAUCUGAGAGGAUGACCCCCCACACUGGUACUGAGACACGGACCAGACUCCUACGGGAGGCAGCAGUAAGGAAUAUUGGUCAAUGGGCGGAAGCCUGAACCAGCCAUGCCGCGUGCAGGAAGACGGCCCUACGGGUUGUAAACUGCUUUUACAGGGGAAUAAACCUCAUUACGUGUAAUGAGCUGAAUGUACUCUGAGAAUAAGGAUCGGCUAACUCCGUGCCAGCAGCCGCGGUAAUACGGAGGAUCCAAGCGUUAUCCGGAUUUAUUGGGUUUAAAGGGUGCGUAGGUGGCCUGUUAAGUCAGGGG
rnacentral:rRNA from 1 species